UACGAAGGGGGCUAGCGUUGCUCGGAAUCACUGGGCGUAAAGGGUGCGUAGGCGGAUCUUUAAGUCAGGGGUGAAAUCCUGGAGCUCAACUCCAGACCUGCCUUUGAUACUGAGGAUCUCGAGUUCGGGAGAGGUGAGUGGAACUGCGAGUGUAGAGGUGAAAUUCGUAGAUAUUCGCAAGAACACCAGUGGCGAAGGCGGCUCACUGGCCCGAUACUGACGCUGAGGCACGAAGGUCAGGGGAGCAAACGGG
rnacentral:rRNA from 1 species